GGUGCGUUAGAUUAGUUUGGUAAAAUCACCACACUGUCACUGUGGAGAUCAUGGGUUCAAAUCCCAUACGCAUCG
rnacentral:tRNA from 1 species